CCUACGGGCGACAGCAGUGGGGAAUAUUGCACAAUGGGGGAAACCCUGAUGCAGCGACGCCGCGUGAAGGAAGAAGUAUUUCGGUAUGUAAACUUCUAUCAGCAGGGAAGAAAAUGACGGUAUCUGACUAAGAAGCCCCGGCUAACUACGGGCCAGCAGCCGCGGUAAUACGUAGGGGGCAAGCGUUAUCCGGAUUUACUGGGUGUAAAGGGAGCGUAGGCGGUGAUGCAAGUCAGAAGUGAAAGCCCGCAGCUCAACCGCGGGACUGCAUUUGGAACUGUAUGACUGGAUUGCAGGAGAGGUAGGUGGAAUUCCUAGUGUAGCGGUGAAAUGCGUAGAUAUUAGGAGGAACACCAGUGGCGAAGGCGGCUUACUGGACUGUAAAUGACGCUGAGGCUCGAAAGCGUGGGGAGCAAACAGGAUUAGAUACCCUUGUAGUC
rnacentral:rRNA from 1 species